AGUUUUCAGGCCCAGUUAGCCCACCCUCUAGAAACCGUAACAAGCUUUCUCUUCCACGAUGCCUUCUCUGUCUCUUCUCUUCGUUUUUGGACGUUCAUCUUCUCAACGGAAAGUCGAUCAAUCGACUCCACUCCAUCUAUGUGCAAUGAAUCCAUCAUUUAUGGGUUCUUUUCGCAUCUCUCCCUCUGAUUUUAUUUAUAUCUCUAUCUUGCUCAAGAUAGUCUACACUAUCACAAUCGAAAUUUGCAAUGAAUUCCAACCGCAAUUCCACUGUUUCCGGCGGUUUUAUCUCGAAGCAAUCAAACGGAACAGACGGAGCCUCCUCCGCUGAGCCGAUCAAACGUACCGGCCAAUCCGGUGUCUCUUCCACCGUACCGAUCAAACAUUAUCAUCCUCUUCGAUGCCAAGCCUGUUUUUUUUGGUUAUCUUCAUCUCUCAAUCGGUUCAGUCUCCUCUGAGAAACAUAAAUAGCCCUUUUGGUUUCCAUGGAGCAGUAAAUCGUGAAUCUACUGCUAACUCUACAUCUCCCCCCAUCUUAAUCGAUUGUCUAGCUCUGCCUCAUAUGUCUCUUAUGUCUAAAUUUGUAGAAGAAACUGUGUAGAUGAAGUAAAGAAGAAAUUUCCAGGUUAUCCAAGAGGCUUAUACUCUCUUUUUCUUCAUCUUUGUCUUCUAAAUUAUUUUAUCACGGAAACAAAUUUGAUUUAUUAUUGGAUACAGAGGAUCUUCUGUUAUUUCCUUGAUCUGUGUACUUUUUUUAUUAUAAAAGUAUUGUUUAUGUGUCUGAUUAAGGUUUUCUUUUUCUAUUUGUUGUGGGAACAUAGUUUCGUCUGACUCCAACAAGAGGUUCGUGUAUGAUGUUGGAGCUUAUAAUAGUGAUGAUGAUAAAGCUGACGAAAACGUAAAUUCUUUUUUUUUUUUUUUUUGCUAAAAGAUAGUGCAAUGUUUAUUGACAUGUCUUCUUUAUGAACUAUGUGGUGAUGAAUCAUUUUGGGUUUACAUGGAAUGGGAGAUUUCUUGAACGAGAUGGCGGCCAUGAUGAAUCUCUGCAUAGUGUAAGACUCUGCAUUAGUUUUUCCCUUUGAUUUAUUAUUAGACAUGACUGAUUGUUUGAUAUUUGAGAUGUUGAUUUUGGCAUGAGAAUAAUUCAGGGGACAGUUUUGAACAGGUACAAGAUCUGUUUAAUGAGAUGUUUCAAGGAGAUGCCGCAGCAUUCCCAUCCUCAUCAUCAACGUCUUGGAUCGUGUCUCCAUCUGUUUGUUAUGUAAUCUAAGGAAGCCGACGGCGGUGGUUCUCUUGAAGAGGGUGGCGACAGAAGUAAAGACGUUAAUGGGGGCAGUUCUCAUAAGGAGGUUGGUGAUACCCAUUCCACAACUCGCAAGAUAGAAGUCCCGAGUUUAAAGGUUGGCAUGCUUAUUGGUAAAGGUGGAGAGAUAGUAAGGAAUCUUCAGCUCAGUUCUGGUGUCAAAAUCUAAAUUUGGAGGGAUGCACAGGCUGAUCUAAAUUCAGCACUAAGACCGGUGGAGAUAGUUGGGAAUCUUGCUUUUAUUGAAAAAGCAGAGAAGCUUAUCAAUGAAAUUAUAGCUCAGGUUAUAAAUUAUCUUGGUUUCUAUUUAAUCGACAACUUUUGUUUUUACUGUCGGACGUAACAUUUUUUUUCUCCUGCUGCAAUCUUAGACUGAAGGAGAAGGUAUACCUGCUCUUUUUGUAAGAGGGGCCCCAGAACAAAUAUAGAUCAAAGUUCCAAAUGAUGGUAUUCCCUGGUAAUUGUUCUGCCUGGCCAUUUUUAAGUGAUAUCUAAUCCAUCUUCGGCAGGUUGGUGUGAUCAUUGGCCGGGGAGACUAUCAAGAACAUGCAGACAAAGUCGAGAGCACGGAUUCAGGUUGUCCUUGCUAUUUAUGAUCUCAAGUAGUCUAGCAUCUUGGUUUAGAUUUAUAUUGUGUUGUUUAGGUUAGUUUUUGCCUGGAACAUGACUCCAACCUACUACUUGAUAGUUGAUCAGUUCAUUGUUGGGAUUUGUUUUUAUGUUUUGUUGAAACUGUCUACUUAUUGUUUCCACGACAUGGACGUCACUGUGUACUUAUUUUGUGGUAUGAGACUGCAUCAACCUUUAGGGGCCUCUUGAAAUCAGGGGAUAAAAUUCACUCUGUGAUGUUGGUGACCACAGUUAAUCCUAAACUGUUUGGAGAUUGAUCUAACUAACUGUCGUUCUGCGGAAGAAUUUGAGAAUGAUUCUUCUAUGCUUUGUUCUCUUUCAUUCCUAUGCCAAGUUGGUUCGUUUUUUUUUUUGGUAACUGACGUUGUUGCUUGUGUUUGUGGUGGUUACAGACAGGCUAUGCCAAUUGUUGCUGGGGCUGCAGUAGUGAUUUUAAAACUGUUUUUGUCUUAUUAGUUAAUUUCAAAUUGUAAUAAUGUAUCUUUUUGAAGUUACACAAAAAAAAUGUUUUUUCUUUAUUACACUAGCAUUAUAUAUAUUAUAUUAUAUAUACACAAAUAAAUAUAAUAUAA